UACAGAGGGUGCGAGCGUUAAUCGGAAUUACUGGGCGUAAAGCGUGCGCAGGCGGUUGAUUAAGUCUGAUGUGAAAGCCCCGGGCUCAACCUGGGAAUGGCAUUGGAAACUGGUCAGCUGGAGUGUGGCAGAGGGGGGUGGAAUUCCGCGUGUAGCAGUGAAAUGCGUAGAGAUGCGGAGGAACACCGAUGGCGAAGGCAGCCCCCUGGGCCAACACUGACGCUCAGGCACGAAAGCGUGGGGAGCAAACAGG
rnacentral:rRNA from 1 species